GAAUCAUGAAGUUUUUCUAGUCCGGCAUCUGCAGCGUGCCAACUGUAUGCCAGCACUACAGCUGAGCCAGGCGAGGAACGUUCAUCUCAUGAACGAUUGUGAUCCUCGCUGGGGACAGGGGGCAGCUGCCAGAAAUUCUCUGUCAGCAAAACAUGGCAAGAUCCUUCCUCGAGGUCAGAGGCAGCUGGCUGUAGAGAGAGCCAAGCCUUACCAUCUGCCUUCAUCCGGACCAAGAGGAGCCGCAAGACCAAAGCCAUUCUCAACAGUAACAGGACAAGCUAAUGCAGGAGAUGUGCCUCCCAGAGCACCUUUCAGCAGUCGUGUACUGGCCAAAGUUAGAGAGUU